rnacentral:lncRNA from 1 species
AAGAAAAGUAAUUAUAAAUUUUGAAAUAUAAAUGAUUCAUGUCAUGCAAUAAUGCUAUACGAACAAUGUCCUUUGACAAUUUUGCAUUACAACCUGACAUAGCAUUAUUGAAAAAAAAAAAAAAAAACACAUGAAAAGAAGGAAAAAGAAAUAUGGCUACUGGGAAUAAUAAAAUGGGCGCCAAACCAAACAAAUAACAUUGGUCAAUACCCGAUUUCCGCAAAUUCCACGAGAGCACCCCAAAUAUCUCAUCCCAUUCAAAGCCCAAACGGUAACAGACCCAUCCUCCCGACUUGAUUUUCGUUUGUGAAUAGUAGCUGCGAUAACAUUUUACAGCUUGUACAAGUUGGGUUGAGCUCCAGUGAGUCAUUUUACAUAAGAACUGAUUUGCAAAGUUUGCAAAGUUUGGGAAAGCCAUUGCCGCCGUGUAUGAACUCGCAUCGUCGACCUCUUCCUUGACGGCUACAGCUACAGUAAAAGGUGUGAAUUGUUUUUGCAAAAUUUCAUAAUUAUUUUCUUUGGGAAUCUGGAAGUAAUGUUGGAAUAUUAUGAUAAUUUAGGGAAAAAAUUUUGAAUGAGUAUAAUGUGGUUGAAAUUAUGGUUUUGUUUGAGAAAUGAAACUGAGGAGCAAACUUCCGGGCUCUUCUUAAAUGUUAGUAGCUGUAUUUUUAUUUUUAUGGAGUUGAAUAAUUGGUUUAAUGGCAUAUAUGAAGUUCACUAAAAUGUAUACUAGGUAAAUUUGAUAAGAAGUUCAUAUUGAUGUAUGUGAAAAUGAAUGUUGGGUCCUCCAGUCCAAUCCCAACCUAAAAUGUUGCUAUGAUUUAUAUGUAUUUUUGUAAAAUUAUGGAAAGAUUAUGGUUUUCUAAAGUGACCGCUAAUUUUGACACAGGAGAAAUUAUGGCAGAAGUGGAACAUGAUUUAUUGAUGGAACCCGAAA